CACCCGAGCAGACAAGCACAAACCAAGCAGGGGAGAAGAGAAGCCCGAUGACCACCAGCACCCCGAGCCCCCACUUCAACAACGAUACUGUACUGUGUGGACACUUCUUCCUCCCACGACUGGUUUUACAUACCUAAGAUCACCACUUCACAGCAGUUAGGUUGUGAGGAUAUGGAGAGAAAGAAUAAAACCAGUGGCCCCACUUAAUUGCAGUUUACGGUUCCUCAUCCCAACAUGAAGGCUGGAGACAAAGCAAUGGACUGAAAUGGAGAGAGGGAUACCAAGGGCUUGAAAACAUGGGCCUUUUACGUAAGUUUUUGUCACGUUACAGUAACGCUUUUUUUUUCCUUUGAGAAAACUGUGUACGACAAAUUAAAAAAACUAAAGAUCAAAAGGAUGUGCAAGUCUUAAAGGGUUCAACUGGGUUUAGAAUCCUGAUUUGAACAUAUAAAUUCACUCAAGCAUCACUUUGGUCUAAAGGCAGGAGGAAGGCAGGCAGGAAAGGGACAAAAAGAGGGAGAUAAUUGAAUUACUCAAUAAAAGAGGCUACUUACCAUCCCAACCCAUUGUAAGACAUACA